ACUUUCAUCAAAAUGUCUCUCCCAUGAAAAACAACAGGCCCUCUACUGAAUAUUUGACUGCACCAGGUUUUUGGCUGACAUAAUAACACCAUCUCUAAUCUUUCGAGAUAUUUUCAGUCCCAGAAGAAGAGUCCAGAGAUGACAUCACCUCCUUGAUUUCCUGCUGUUUACUCUAGAGGCAGAACUAAACUAAGCAGUAAACUGAGCAUGAUGCAGGCAGAGAGCUUUUUUUACAACCCGUCUGACAAACAGAAACCUGGAGAUGCAAAUGAAAUUUCACACGGUCUCACUGUCGAGGAAAUUGAAUUACCCUGCUUGUUGCCUGAGUUGAGGAAUGCAUCACUAAUGCUUUGAGGCAGCUGCAUGAAGGCCAGGAGAUGCAGAAGAAAGUUGAAGCCAUUGGAUGCAGCCUGAAUCACAGGACAGGAGAAAAGAGACUGAUGAACUCGGAAUUCAAACGCACUACGUGAGCACCUUUGUGUCCCGUUGGUGCCUGGGAUCCCUGCUGCUUUGUUGCUCUCUUGCUUACGAGGCAGAGGGAGUGGAGGAGACAGGGUGCCUGGUUUGUCUCUUUUGUGGCGCGGCUCAAAGGGAGGCAGCUGUGUAUCCUGGGAGUCUGUGCUCCUGUUAUUCACACCUCACCUCCUCCUUUGUGUGCAGCACCCCAAGCAGUCAGAGGGAGCACGUACCCAACCCACCACCGCAGGAUUCAUGGAGCUGUCCGGUUAUCCCCCAUCCUCACUUUUGAACUCCUCAGAGAAAGCCCCCUGCUUUAUGUGCUAACUGUGAUGCUUGAAGACUCUCUCUCUUUUAACAGGUUCCCUUUCCUGCCUGUUUCUUCUUAAGUCAUCUAACGUCUGGAUUUGUCAUGAUCCAGCAGUUUACCACCAUCUUGAAAACAAACCAAGUCAGAUUUAACCACAUUACCUCAGCUACUCAGCCAGGGUCUUAGUGUUCCCUCGUUACUAAGGAAACAGCUAUGACUCAAAUCCUUUUUUUGUAACAGAAGAACAUCAAAGCUUGAGUAUCCAAACCCAACCAAAAUGUAGGCUCAAAAAUCAGUUUUAAGAGGAAACUGCUUUGAUUUGUUCCAUCUCUUCUGUAGAGUUCUCCUCCAAAAGUGGGUUGCGGUGACAAAAAGAGAUCUCUGCCUCAUAAAGUCACUGAGAUGUCACAUUUUAUGAUAACGGUUCUGAGUCGUCACGUCACUGCCUGUCGAGGGUAAUAUGACAUUUGCAUCCUGAUUUGCAUGUCGAUUAGGGAGCGUGACUCAGUUAUUCCUGAUGCAAAUCAUCAUCAUAGAGGGUUUGAUGCUGUGUAAACACUAAAUAAAUAAAAGUGACAUUUGU